rnacentral:ncRNA from 1 species
UCGGCCCCGGUUCACGUCCGCGCAAUCCGCGCGAGCGACCCGGCGCC